rfam:Ralstonia eutropha H16 chromosome 1
GAAAGGGUGACCGAUCGUGGGGAGGAGCGCGAGCGAAGCUGCGAGCCGAGGAACACGAACCGGAUAGAAGGCGGUGCCGACCAGAACGAGCGGGCAAAGCUUCGCGAAGUUCUCGCGAUCAAGGGGAGGCGGCGUAUAUCCGGCGGUUGUGCAGUGAAGGAGUACGUU